rnacentral:rRNA from 1 species
UACGGAGGGUGCGAGCGUUUGUCCGGAAUCACUGGGCGUAAAGGGCGCGUAGGCGGCCUGAUAAGUAGGGGGUGAAAUCCUGCGGCUUAACCGCAGGGCUGCCUUCUAAACUGUCAGGCUUGAGCACAGUAGAGGCAGGUGGAAUUCCCGGGUGUAGCGGUGGAAUGCGUAGAGAUCGGGAAGAACAUCAGUGGCGAAGGCGGCCUGCUGGGCUGUUGCUGACGCUGAGGCGCGACAGCGUGGGGAGCAAACAGG